UGGCCUUCAUGAAACACUUCAAGGUGCUGA
rnacentral:piRNA from 1 species